UAGUAAUGCAACUACCUCGAUAAAGCAUCCUUUUAAGUAUCUCAUAGUCAGUGAACACGUUGAAGAUAGAAGUAACAUACACAUAGAAGCUUCAUGGAUCAUUUAGCUCGCGCAUCCUCUCUAUUUUCGUGUGCCGUGUAAGAAAGGUGUUGCCGUACAAGUGUAGCUUGGUCAUCCAUACCAAAAACCAUGGUGGCGAAACGAAGUUUCCCAUUCGCUGAGUACGAUCAAGGCUUACAGUCGAAACUGCACGUUACUGAGAAGGUGUACAAUUCAACAGUGGAUCGGAUGCCUAAAAUCUAUGAGCAAACUUUAUCAAAGCUGACGAACGGUUCGAAGGAUUUCUUUCGUGCACAAAGUCAGUUUUUUCCUGGUGUGAAACCCGGCAGUUCAUCUAUUGAACUUCCAGUUAAAGAAUGCACGUCAUGCACUCGUCGAGCUUCGUGUAAAACGUGUUGCUUCUUCUGUGAUGCCGCGGUAUGCGAUAAUUGCGUACGCCAAUGUCACAUCUGCUGUUCGCACUUUUGCCAGCUCUGCUCAAUAAUUUGUUAUGGGCCCCGAAGUAACACAGCGAUAUGUUUCUCAUGCAAGUAAAGUCUGCUUGCAGUAUAAAUGGAACAAGCGGUAUUCUCACAGUAGUACCUAAAUUUGUGGACACAAUCCAUCUUAUAAUGCAAGAGAAAAACAGACGUGGUUCUUUUCAGCGGACGAUUCGCUGUUCACUUAAGGGGGCCUACAGCGGCCUCUGUUGUUAUCACCAGACGUGAAAGGAUGAAGAAAGUCAUUGAAAUGAGGUUAAAACAAGAAGACUGGUACUAUUUUUGCUUUAAAUUUGAGAGAUAGACAUAUUUCAAUUUUUUUUUACAAAAAUGAUAUUGUACCGAUAUUGUUAUAUAUGUAUAUAUGACCGAUAUAUAUAAGAGAAGUGCAGAGUUUUUGAAACAGUGUACGGACCGUCAUCGUUACCAGGACCAACGGUGAUCGGUGACUCAUCUUAUAAUAGUGUAUAAUGAUUUCUACGGAGAAAUUUAGAGCGGACCAUAAGGCAGAUAUGCCCCGUUUGUGAUUAGUCAAUGAUAUAUCGAAUGUCUAAAAUACAGAUUGGAAUUAAAUGACUAUAGAAAGUUAAUGCAACAAUAAGGAUUCGAUUUAAUGCGUAAUUUUUGUUGUCACCAUCAGUUUUAUUGGUCUUUUUUCGUCUUGUUGUUGUUGUAGUUGUUGUCGUGUUCUUUGUUUUUAUUUCACUUAUUAUGUUACAUGUACAUUUCAUCUCUGUAGUACAAUCAGUUUACUUAGAGUUAGUCAUUUCGUCCAUUCCACAUCAUUUCAUUAUGUUCAUUAGCGUCGUGGUGAUGCUUUGUUAUAUUUGACUAUUUUAUUGUUGCCACAUCCUCUUUGUUCGUAUUUACUGUAUAUUUCGUAAUCGCAAUUUCACCAUCGCCAUCGUUGAUAACGUAGAUUUUGCUUUGUGUUCCACUCAUAAAAGGCGUAAUUAUUUUAUCGCGAUGUGUAUAUAAUCAAUUUUUAAUUAUCAUAUCAUUAUUGUUAUUUCAUUAUUAUAAUAUUUAUUAGUAUAUAUCGCUUUUCUCUCACAGCUUCCACGCCUUCUAUGUGUUCUUUUUGUUAUUGUUUAUCGUUAUGUUUUACGUGAUAUUGUUCAUUUCUGUUUUUAUAUUUAUCAUUAACGCUCGAGACGUUUCAACGUGCGUUCAUACAUUUAUAUUUAUUUAUGGAGCAAUAUAUAUAGCAGGGGGAGAGUUUUCGAAGGUGAUACUUUCUUGCUUUAUCUCAUCUUCUGUUUUCUCAUCUCAGGCAUAUGUUUUCUAUGGGCGUUACCAUAUUUGUUAUCAUUAUAUUAUCAUGAUCAUGCAUAUAUAACUCAAUAGGUAAUCUUCUGUUUUCAUGAAAACUAUUUCUGCUAACCGUUCAUUGGUUAGGUUUUCAUUACACCCAACUCAUUAGGCGAGCUUUUCCACACAAGCCCUCACCUCCGAAAUUGUCGCCGGCUUAAUCUUAUUUAUCAUACGUGGAUUUAUGUCUCGCUCAGCCGCUGUUACCGAAUAACUGUGUGUUGUGUUUCAUUUAUAGAACUCAGCACUCCACUAUUACCAAUCAAUCAUCAAUCGGUAUUGAGUUACUGCCACCUACAUCAGGUUACGUUACUGUAGAAUCAACGACAAAACCCAUACAAUCUCUCCUACUUUUGUGUUUACAGCUGAUACAUGUACCGUAUUCUUUUCACCACAAAUAUCCAUAUAUAUGAAUACUUGUCAUAUUUGUUAGAUUUUCAUAUUUCCUAAUUGUUUCCACUCUCCAUCGUCGGACAGUUCAUAGUUUUAUGUUCAUAGGCUGUGCAGAAUCCUAUCAUUUCUUAUUGUGGCUAUUGCCCAGUGACCCUAUGUAUGAUAUAUUUUCUAUUCGCUUGUGGAUUCGACAUAGACGCUUGUGAAACCCUCAAGUUUAAAGUAUUCAUUUUCACUUUGUGCACCAUAUUUUCUCGUCCUUUUCUCUCGAUUUAUUCUUUUUUUUUCUGAUUUUGUGUAGUAUCAAUAUAAUACGUAAUUCUCCACAGUUGUAAAACCAGUUCUUGGCAAACUCACAGUAUGCUGUUGCGGUCAUUUAUUUAAAAACAUCACUCAACGAUUACGUAAUUAAUCUCUAUAUUCGCGGUGUUUCAUCUACGUCGGACACGCUGCAAAUAAACCAACAAGAUAUAAUUCAAAAUGGCUGGGUAAAUAGGUAAAACAAUCCUUCUGGCUUCAUAAGUCACCUGUAAUCUCUGUCACAUAUCUCUCUCGCGCAUCAUAUUGGCAUUUGUAUCAUAUUUAUAAUCAUUUUAUUAUACUUAUCCAUCUUUUUUCUCCACAAUCUAAAUAUAUUAAGUUAAUAAUCAUCUUAUUUUUAUUUCGUAUUUAUCAUCCAUCAUAUGACAUUAACAUGCCUAGCUAUCAUGAACCUACCAUGGUAGGAAUUAUCGACGCUUAUGCAACAACCGAGAAACUGUUGGUAAUUUUCUUCUCAUCAUUGCUUCCUUCAACUGCUAUCAUUUUUUUCAAAAGAUAUUUUUUAAAAGAGCAUUUCUUUAGCGUACGAUUUUUUGUUAAAUUCAGUUAAUCAUAGAAUUACAGAUAUGUAAUGAAAUGUACGAAAGUAUUUGUCUUUGAAACAUUCCCUUCGUAUGAAACAAAUGCAGCUAAACUGUUAUGAACAAAAACUAUUUUUGUGCUGUUAAGAAUGUUCUGAUUUUAGACGUGUCCUGCUAACGUUAGAUAACUAACCUCAAGUUUUGUUUGCAACAAAAAAAUGCAGCGGCAUCUCCGUUCCAUAAAAUUCAAUGGAAAACAUGAAAUUGCGCAUUUUAAAACGACAAUAAAAAUAUUUUUAUGGCAAGUUGAUUCGUCCAAUUUGUCAAUUAGCAUAUGUGAAUCGGAUACUGGAGAUAGGGGUAAUAUAUAACGAUGAUAAACCACCGAAUGAAAUUUCAGUUCUUCAUGUUCGCACUUUUCGUCGAAUAUAUCUCUUUGUUUAUCAUAACCGUUCGACUUCCGGUACAUUUGUCACUUUUUUUUUACCUACCUAAUCUCUGCAUUCUACUUUAUAAACCUUAGCUCUCGUUCGAAUUGUUGUCAAGACGUGUCUAUGUUUAGCUAACUUUUUGUCAGGAUUAUAUUCUCUGUGCCAAGGCCAUUUCUUUCGUUUAAUCCGUUGAUUUCAAUGUUAAUAAAUUUCUUUUCUUUUCGAUUGAGACAUCUUUGGUUGACCCUCGUGAUACUUUUUGAUUUAAUUAUCGACGAUAUUGGUACAAGAUGUCUGUUGACGACUUUUAUUGCCACUGCCAAAUGCAAUUUUAAAGAGGUUAUGAACAGGAAGAUGUUAUUUAACAAACGAUUUCUAGUGGCCGUUCAACCUUAAACACUAUCGUAUUCGAAAUUCUCAUUUCUAGGUCAUUGUUUUUCUUUGUGUGUUUUUGGACGAAAAUUCGACCGACGUCAAAAUAUUUUGUCUAGCCACAAUACGAGUUGACAUUCACUUUUAUUUACGGACUAGGGCAGCCAUAUACAUUUACCUGGAAAUAGGGCCACCAUAUUUUUAUUCAAAAUAUUUUAUAGUGAAAACAUUUAGUGCCUGAUGACGCCUACGACUAUCGCCUGAUCGGCGAAAGAUAACUCAAAGGCCAUCGCUAGUGCCGAAAUUGUGCUUCCCGGACAAUGAGCACGCUUCGGGUAGACCGCAUGUCCACACGCCUACAACAGCUAUCAAUGAUCGGGUCGACUUUGUAGGGAUUUUUUUCGAUGAGAUUAAGAUACACUGUCGAUCCGUCCUGUUUGUUGGUUUAAAGAUGCAUCUUUUAGAGACACAUCGACUGUGAUUAAACUAAAUCUUCGUAUAUUUAUCAUCACAAACAACUGAAAGUGAUAUAGAUUUAAUCGUUCUGACUUGCACUGCUCAAAGAAACAGCGCCGUGCCUUGGAAGCAUGAAAGUUACAAAUAAGACAAUAUAUCUUACAUGAAAAUCCAAGUUCAGCUUCAUUUACGAGACCAAUAUUCACGCGCUAUUUUUAAAAUCUAUGUUGAUGUUAAAUACAUCAUCUUUUGUUCAUAGCUAAUCCAGAAUCAAUUAAACCUUCAAAGCACUUUAUAUAAUCCGCUAUGACAUUUUACUAGGCAGAAUUUGAUAUGCUUGUCAAGCUGUUGUUUUCGGAUUCGUGUAUCCCUACAUUUUCGUUAAUGAUUUACUCUAAUAAAACAGACGUGCGUAGUAAUUUUGGUUUUACUUGUACGUUUGCAUCAAUAUUGCCAUUCCGUAUGGAUUUUUCACCGCGCUCUCGCCCGGCGAAUCCUCCAUCGUUGGCUUGUUCUCGUCAGCUUCGAUUUCGUUGGAGAAAGACGGGUUAAGGAACAGCUAUAUUCAAUCACUAACACUAAAGGCUUACUAUACUGGCAAGGACAACAGGUCCCGUAUGCACAGUGACAACAUGUUUGGGUGCACGUAUAUAACCAUUACCUCAGCCAAUGUGCACUUGACCUUCUAUUCUCGCCUCAGCUUCAUUGAGUGGCCUGAAAUUCACUGUCAUUUUAGUAUUUCGGAUGUACUCGGUAUAUCGACACCUUUACGUUUGUAUGUGUUUAUUGGUUGUUGUGCCUAUUCCUAAACGGCUCGUAUAUAUGUACGUAUAGUGGCAAGUAAUAGUAAUAUCAAUUACCAUUGGUAUCAUCACCAUUAAAUUGACUCAUUGUCCGACUCUGUGUCCAUAGUCAUCCGUCUACCAGAGUUUUCAUUUCUUGGGUUGCUUAUGUCACAAUAAACAACGCACAUUUCUUAAGAUCAGGCUGUGUCACGUGUUCGAUCAUCUUCAUGUGCCGAGCUUUCUGUAUCACGUCGUUAAAUAUUUGUUUCUGUUUAGCUUAUAUAGCUUAGCUAACGUUCUUUUUUGCGCUAGUAUCAUCUGGUGCUUUUUUUCAAAUGAAACGUUGUCGGUUUUUUGUCUUUGUAAGCUCGUCUAACUCGUUUAUUCUGCUUAAUCCCCUGAGAGAUCGUGUUUCCGACGUCACGUACGGAAUAAAAUCAUUAUCAUUUCCUGUGCCGUCAUCGAAGUUAUCAUUAUCAUCGUCAAA